rnacentral:rRNA from 1 species
AUACGGAGGGUGCAAGCGUUGUUCGGAAUUACUGGGCGUAAAGCGCGCGUAGGCGGUCUGUUAUGUCAGAUGUGAAAGUCCUCGGCUCAACCGGGGAAGUGCAUUUGAAACUGGCAGACUUGAGUACUCGAGGGGGUGGUGGAAUUCCCGGUGUAGAGGUGAAAUUCGUAGAUAUCGGGAGGAAUACCGGUGGCGAAGGCGACCACCUGGCCAGAUACUGACGCUGAGGUGCGAAAGCGUGGGGAGCAAACAGGAUUAGAUACCCCGGUAGUCC